UUAAGCGACUAAGCGUACACGGUGGAUGCCCUGGCAGUCAGAGGCGAUGAAGGACGUGCUAAUCUGCGAUAAGCGUCGGUAAGGUGAUAUGAACCGUUAUAACCGGCGAUUUCCGAAUGGGGAAACCCAGUGUGAUUCGUCACACUAUCAUUAACUGAAUCCAUAGGUUAAUGAGGCGAACCGGGGGAACUGAAACAUCUAAGUACCCCGAGGAAAAGAAAUCAACCGAGAUUCCCCCAGUAGCGGCGAGCGAACGGGGAGCAGCCCAGAGCCUGAAUCAGUGUGUGUGUUAGUGGAAGCGUCUGGAAAGGCGCGCGAUACAGGGUGACAGCCCCGUACACAAAAAUGCACAUGCUGUGAGCUCGAUGAGUAGGGCGGGACACGUGGUAUCCUGUCUGAAUAUGGGGGGACCAUCCUCCAAGGCUAAAUACUCCUGACUGACCGAUAGUGAACCAGUACCGUGAGGGAAAGGCGAAAAGAACCCCGGCGAGGGGAGUGAAAAAGAACCUGAAACCGUGUACGUACAAGCAGUGGGAGCACGCUUAGGCGUGUGACUGCGUACCUUUUGUAUAAUGGGUCAGCGACUUAUAUUCUGUAGCAAGGUUAACCGAAUAGGGGAGCCGAAGGGAAACCGAGUCUUAACUGGGCGUUAAGUUGCAGGGUAUAGACCCGAAACCCGGUGAUCUAGCCAUGGGCAGGUUGAAGGUUGGGUAACACUAACUGGAGGACCGAACCGACUAAUGUUGAAAAAUUAGCGGAUGACUUGUGGCUGGGGGUGAAAGGCCAAUCAAACCGGGAGAUAGCUGGUUCUCCCCGAAAGCUAUUUAGGUAGCGCCUCGUGAAUUCAUCUCCGGGGGUAGAGCACUGUUUCGGCAAGGGGGUCAUCCCGACUUACCAACCCGAUGCAAACUGCGAAUACCGGAGAAUGUUAUCACGGGAGACACACGGCGGGUGCUAACGUCCGUCGUGAAGAGGGAAACAACCCAGACCGCCAGCUAAGGUCCCAAAGUCAUGGUUAAGUGGGAAACGAUGUGGGAAGGCCCAGACAGCCAGGAUGUUGGCUUAGAAGCAGCCAUCAUUUAAAGAAAGCGUAAUAGCUCACUGGUCGAGUCGGCCUGCGCGGAAGAUGUAACGGGGCUAAACCAUGCACCGAAGCUGCGGCAGCGACGCUUAUGCGUUGUUGGGUAGGGGAGCGUUCUGUAAGCCUGCGAAGGUGUGCUGUGAGGCAUGCUGGAGGUAUCAGAAGUGCGAAUGCUGACAUAAGUAACGAUAAAGCGGGUGAAAAGCCCGCUCGCCGGAAGACCAAGGGUUCCUGUCCAACGUUAAUCGGGGCAGGGUGAGUCGACCCCUAAGGCGAGGCCGAAAGGCGUAGUCGAUGGGAAACAGGUUAAUAUUCCUGUACUUGGUGUUACUGCGAAGGGGGGACGGAGAAGGCUAUGUUGGCCGGGCGACGGUUGUCCCGGUUUAAGCGUGUAGGCUGGUUUUCCAGGCAAAUCCGGAAAAUCAAGGCUGAGGCGUGAUGACGAGGCACUACGGUGCUGAAGCAACAAAUGCCCUGCUUCCAGGAAAAGCCUCUAAGCAUCAGGUAACAUCAAAUCGUACCCCAAACCGACACAGGUGGUCAGGUAGAGAAUACCAAGGCGCUUGAGAGAACUCGGGUGAAGGAACUAGGCAAAAUGGUGCCGUAACUUCGGGAGAAGGCACGCUGAUAUGUAGGUGAAGUCCCUCGCGGAUGGAGCUGAAAUCAGUCGAAGAUACCAGCUGGCUGCAACUGUUUAUUAAAAACACAGCACUGUGCAAACACGAAAGUGGACGUAUACGGUGUGACGCCUGCCCGGUGCCGGAAGGUUAAUUGAUGGGGUUAGCGCAAGCGAAGCUCUUGAUCGAAGCCCCGGUAAACGGCGGCCGUAACUAUAACGGUCCUAAGGUAGCGAAAUUCCUUGUCGGGUAAGUUCCGACCUGCACGAAUGGCGUAAUGAUGGCCAGGCUGUCUCCACCCGAGACUCAGUGAAAUUGAACUCGCUGUGAAGAUGCAGUGUACCCGCGGCAAGACGGAAAGACCCCGUGAACCUUUACUAUAGCUUGACACUGAACAUUGAGCCUUGAUGUGUAGGAUAGGUGGGAGGCUUUGAAGUGUGGACGCCAGUCUGCAUGGAGCCGACCUUGAAAUACCACCCUUUAAUGUUUGAUGUUCUAACGUUGACCCGUAAUCCGGGUUGCGGACAGUGUCUGGUGGGUAGUUUGACUGGGGCGGUCUCCUCCUAAAGAGUAACGGAGGAGCACGAAGGUUGGCUAAUCCUGGUCGGACAUCAGGAGGUUAGUGCAAUGGCAUAAGCCAGCUUGACUGCGAGCGUGACGGCGCGAGCAGGUGCGAAAGCAGGUCAUAGUGAUCCGGUGGUUCUGAAUGGAAGGGCCAUCGCUCAACGGAUAAAAGGUACUCCGGGGAUAACAGGCUGAUACCGCCCAAGAGUUCAUAUCGACGGCGGUGUUUGGCACCUCGAUGUCGGCUCAUC
rnacentral:rRNA from 1 species